GAUGAACGCUGGCGGCGUGCCUAAUACAUGCAAGUCGAGCGAACGGACGAUAAGCUUGCUCCUCUGAUGUUAGCGGCUGACGGGUGAGUAACACGUGGAUAACCUACCUAUAAUACUUGGAUAACUUCGGGAAACCGGAGCUAAUACCAGAUAAUAUGUUGAACCGCAUGGUUCAAAAGUGCAACACGGUUUUGCUGUCACUUAUAGAUGGAGCCGCGCUGGAUUAGCUAGUUGGUAAGGUAACGGCUUACCAAGGCGACGAUGCGUAGCCGACCUGAGAGGGUGAUCGGCCACACUGGAACUGAGACACGGUCCAGACUCCUACGGGAGGCAGCAGUAGGGAAUCUUCCGCAAUGGGCGAAAGCCUGACGGAGCAACGCCGCGUGAGUGAUGAAGGUCUUCGGAUCGUAAAACUCUGUUAUUAGGGAAGAACAGAUGUGUAAGUAACUGUGCACGUCUUGACGGUACCUAAUCAGAAAGCCACGGCUAACUUCGUG
rnacentral:rRNA from 1 species